AUAACAUAAUAUAGAAUGUAUCCGACUGUUUUAUUAUGUAUCAGAAACUUCUUAAAAAUAAGGGAUUUUUUGUAAAUUGAAAAAAGUAGGGAUAAAAGGUAAUUUAUGUUUUACACUAUGUGAUUUACAUAAUUUUUACUUAUUUUAAUUCCCAGCCCAUUUUCCUUGCCAACCCCAAUUCCCUUUCCAGCCCAUUUAUCCCUUUAAAUUAAUGUUCCAGCCCAAUUCAUUUCCUAGACCAUCCAAGUUUUAUUAUUCCAAGCAGAUCAGCCAAAGCUACUUUCCACCCGACCCAAUCCCCUUUUCAACCCAGCCCAGCCCCCUUAAAUUUUGACCCGACCCAACCUUCUUCCUCCCCUACCCGUUUUCCCCAGAAAAAAAAACAGAGCCCAGACGCGAAAAUCCCAUGCGACUCCCAGCAGAAACAAGAAACAGCAGCCGCGAAAUUUCCAGGAAAAACUCCCUCCAUCACGUCUCCUUCACGCGUAAACUCCUCCCCCAAACACCCUCCUCUCUCUCCUUCUCUCUAUCGCGCGUGAAGGAACAAAUUUGUGUCGUCUUCCUCUGUGAUUCAUACAACAGUACGCCCGCGUAGCUGCAGCAAUGAAGGCUGCAAAUCCCAUCCUUGUAGCGUAGGAUCAUUCCACGUAAUGGUGCAAGGACACGCGAUUAAUCUGAUCCCUCUAUGUGUGCUCCCUUUCCGUUGGAAUGCGACAAAUUCGAGAGCAUCUUCAGGGCAUAUUCCCUCAACCUUUGGAUAAGAUUUGGGCGUGUAAAGGCAUCUUCCAGCCAUUUCCCUUGGAAAAACCCUAAUUUUCCUCUAUUUAAACUCUCGUCUUGCUUCAGAAAACGGAUUGGAAAAUUCUUGGGGGAAAAUUCUUUCAGUUUUCUUGUUUAUUUCGGAAGACCUAAAGGAGAAUUACAGAGGUUGGAAAUUUUUUUUGGGUAGAUUUGAGCGGAGGAUUUCUUUUCUCUCUAUCAUUUUUUUCUGUUCAAACUUUUUGAGAAGAGUUUCAAGAUAUCUUAGAAAGGGUUUCCAAGAUCGUGCGAAACAAGUGAUCAACAGAUUGGUGAGCUAAUCGAUCUAGCGGCUUUCGUUUCGUCAUUUGGUGUUCGUGUUUUCGUUUGGGGUGGAGGUUGUUGCUGAUGCUGCUCGUUCUCGUCUCAGUCUUGCUGCACCCAAAAAGGACCGAAUCUCCAUAUUCUAAUAAGCUUGCAAAAUAGAAGAAAUAGUUCCGAAAGGCUUACAGAUACCAAAGUGAAAAGAAUCGAAGAAAGUCACAGAAGGCGGAUUGGAAGAUUUUUUUUAAUUUAUUAUGUUGUAUUUAUUUUGGGCAUACGCCCUUCUCAUUUUUACCUUGUAUUUAUUUUGUAUGUUUAGACUGAAGUGGGUCGAAAACCCAAACGAGAAAUAGGUUAAAAACCCAAAAAGCAGGUGGAUCCAAAUUUCGGUCAAGGCAGACAGAACCCGAAAUUGGACCCAAUCUCUCUCUCUCUCCCUCUUUACUAUAUUGUUUA